rnacentral:rRNA from 1 species
UACAGAGGUCUCAAGCGUUUGUUCGGAUUCAUUGGGCGUAAAGGGUGCGUAGGCGGCGCGGUAAGUCGGAUGUGAAAUCUCGGAGCUUAACUUCGAAACUGCAUUCGAUACUGCCGUGCUUGAGGACUGGAGAGGAGACUGGAAUUUACGGUGUAGCGGUGAAAAUGCGUAGAUAUCGUAAGGAAGACCAGUGGCGAAGGCGGCUUCCUGGACCGACACUGACGCUGAGGCGCGAAAGCCUAGGGGGAGCAAACAGG